CGGCGAGGCCCCGAGCGGCGACCUCCAGCGCGGAAAAAGUGGAGCCUUUCAUUGCCUCGGGGCGAAUCUCCCCACAUCAGGACGGUUCUCCCGCGGACACCUCGCCCUCUGCUCCGCGGGAAGACGCGGGGCCCGGCCCUUCUGGGCCUGGAGCAGCCGUGUCCCCGCGGGAGAAGGUCACCUGUCCUCCGGGCCACCGGCCCGCACCCCGCACCGCUGCAGCACCGCCAGCGGCCUCGCCUGCAGAAUAAAACCGAUCCAGAGCA